ACAGAUAACACAUAAUCCAGAUGGCUCCUUACGUGUUAAAAAUUGUCACCCCAAUUUCACUCCAAUUUGGAAAAAUAUUGGAGUGACGUUUGAAUAAUCUGAAAUUUUUAGAUUCCUUUUCUAACUUUUUUGGGAGGUUUUGCUUCUCUUGCACAGAUGUCGCUUGCACUUCAGUUGCGUGGUUGCCAAACGUUAUAUCGAAAUAUAUUUCAUUUCAUUAUGAAUAUAUAAAAUUAAAAAUUAUGUAAUUUAUAAACAUGAAAUAGAUAUGGAUGUUAGGUAAUACCGGAUGUUAAAUUAAUAUAUAAAUAUUUAACUUAAUACGUACAUUAUUAUUUUAUUAAUUUAUCGUCACACGUCAUUUUACAGUUGCCUAAUUACGAAAAGUUUCAUAUGAUAUUAACCUCAAAAAUGAUCUUUGAAAACAAACAACAACAAAUAACUCAAAGAAAUAACUACAUACUACAUAAUAAUAACUGAUAAUAAUGACUUUUAAUGGUAUAAAGGCUGAUGAAGUUUUAGACAACCAAUACAAGAUUCAGAACUCGGCAUCGCGAUAAACAAGUAAAAUUGUACAUUCAGGAACUCGUUUAAAUAUUAUAGGUUGAUUGAAGAAUAAUCUACAAUUGAUUAGAGCCUAUGACGAUGCGAAGAUAAUUAAUCACCUAACUUUAAGAAACCAGCCUAAAGAAGUUUACAUGCAUCUCAUCUAACCAUUAUAGGUAAUAAUUUACAAAAUUAGUCAUUUUUGAUUAUAAUAUUAUGGUACUUAGGUACAUUUUAUCUUCUAGAUCAGUAGUGAUUUUUCAUAAUUUGAAUGAACUCACAGAUAGCAAUGGGGCACCGCACUGAAGCAGUAUUACAAAAUGUGAAA